rnacentral:misc_RNA from 1 species
GAUGAAGAACGUAGCGAAAUGCGAUAAGUAAUGUGAAUUGCAGAAUUCAGUGAAUCAUCGAAUCUUUGAACGCACCUUGCGCCCUUUGGCCAUUCCGAAGGGCAUGCCUGUUUGAGUAUCAUGAACACCUCAACUCUUCAUGGUUUUCCAUGAUGAGCUUGGACUUUGGGGGUCUUGCUGGCCUACGGUCGGCUCCUCUAAAAUAAAUCAGCUUGCCAGUGUUUGGUGGGUAUCGCAGGUGUGAUAACUAUCUACGCUUGUGGUUUUCCACCAAGUAACCUUCAGCAGUGGAGGUUCACUGGAGCUCACAGAUGUGUCUCUCCUCAGUGAGGGACAGCUCUUUGAAUGUUUGAUCUCAAAUCAGGUAGGACUACCCGCUGAACUUAAGCAUAUCAAUAAGCGGAGGA